rnacentral:lncRNA from 7 species
AGAGAAGAAACCCCCCGGCGGGCAGAGGGGGCGCCCUGCGGCAGGGAGGUGCGCUGCUCGGCCUGUCUCUGUCGCUCCGCCGUUGCCAUGGCAGCGCUGGGCGGGAGGCGCGGGACGUCUGUGGUGCCGUUGGAGGCGGCGGGUGCUGAUCGUGAGGGCGCGUUCGCGGAGCUUCAGCUUUACUCGGUCAGGUGAAUAAGCCGACGCAGCCGCCUGGCGCAGCUUCACAUCAGCAUGAAGCUCUCCUGAAUUUAAAUCAUGCUUAUCGUUCAAAAGUCAAACACUGAAAAAUUGUAGGAAAAAAUCCAGUGAGGUGUUACCCGUACCCCUGCUUUGCUCUUCCAUCUUGAAGUUGCUCUCCCUACUGCAACAGUCUUCUUCAGUCUCAAAGGGUGACAGACCUGACACCACGCCACACAGCAACCCUGGCUUUUCUUUAUGAAGUGAGAAGCCCUUCCACCUUCCUGGUCAACUGCUCCCCUGCACCUCUCUCCCUGGGUCUGUUAUACCGGAUAGCCCUCGCUGCAUCAGCAUGGCCCUGCAGUGAUGCCCACCUGACAGCUCCCCCAGCACUGACGCUGUGGAACAUGCUGGAGCUCUGUGAUUCCCCAGCCCUAAAAAGGAUUUUUCUCCUGCAUACUCACAAAGCGCUUGCUGGCCAAACACUUCCCUGGAAAACACGAUGCUGCUAUACAAAUCUGUAAUGCAGCAGCAGCGGCAUGAGCUCUGAAGAUGGUUAUGCUUAUCCUCAAAUUCUAUGUGUUAAUUAGAGGUCUGCUGUUCUGUUAUUCCCACUGGAUAUCAAGCAGUCAUAUGCCAAAUUUUAUUUGUAGGAUAGGUGGAAACAAACUGUGUUUUAACCACAUUCUCAAAUAGUGAAACUACGAAUGUAACCUUUUUGUUUCUGUAAUUGAGACAAAACUCAGCUGCCCAGCUGUGCUCUCACUGCAGACGCCUUUUGUUUUAUCUGAGAGUUCCCACAGAAGGAAGUGCUGUAGUGCUAAGUGCUGUAUGUGCCCGUGGAUGCUUUAGAUGCAGUGUUUUCCUCAGUGCACCUUUUGCUUUGUGUUGCAGAGGAGGCCUGGGAAAAACCAGCAAACAGCAGCCAAACUGCUACCACUGUUGCUGUAAAAACAGGCAGAUCCACGGAAGAGUUCCUAUGAUAACAUUACUGAUAUUUUAGCACCUGAGGUUGUGAAAAUAGAAGAGGGCGAAGGCGGUGUGUGUGUAGCUGUAGGCUCCAGGUAGAAUCACCAGCGUGGUCCUGUUUAACCAAACCAACAUAAAACUGCAGCAUCCCAACAGCAGAACGGAGCUACUUAGAGAGUGUUGGGGUGCUCAGCUCCUUCUGUCACAUCAAGCCUUCACUUCUGUAAUUUGUUUUUCCUUCUCUUGGCACGCUGUUCCUCCUCAAAAUCCAUUAUGAUCAGGUGAUUGCAUCGCAAUAAAUCACAAGUUUAACUUGGUG